CCUACGGGGGGCAGCAGUGGGGAAUUUUGGACAAUGGACGAAAGUCUGAUCCAGCAAUGCCGCGUGCAGGACGAAGGCCUUCGGGUUGUAAACUGCUUUUGUACGGAACGAAACGGUCUUCUUUAAUACAGAGGGCUAAUGACGGUACCGUAAGAAUAAGCACCGGCUAACUACGUGCCAGCAGCCGCGGUAAUACGUAGGGUGCGAGCGUUAAUCGGAAUUACUGGGCGUAAAGCGUGCGCAGGCGGUUAUAUAAGUCAGAUGUGAAAUCCCCGGGCUCAACCUGGGACCUGCAUUUGAGACUGUAUAGCUAGAGUACGGUAGAGGGGGAUGGAAUUCCGCGUGUAGCAGUGAAAUGCGUAGAUAUGCGGAGGAACACCGAUGGCGAAGGCAAUCCCCUGGACCUGUACUGACGCUCAUGCACGAAAGCGUGGGGAGCAAACAGGAUUAGAUACCCCGGUAGUC
rnacentral:rRNA from 1 species